GGGGCUGUAGCUCAGUGGUAAAGCACUUGCCUCCCAUGUAAGGCACUGGGUUUAAUCCCCAGCCCCA
rnacentral:tRNA from 1 species